AUUGAACGCUGGCGGCAUGCCUUACACAUGCAAGUCGAACGGCAGCACGGAGCUUGCUCUGGUGGCGAGUGGCGAACGGGUGAGUAAUAUAUCGGAACGUACCCAAGAGUGGGGGAUAACGUAGCGAAAGUUACGCUAAUACCGCAUACGAUCUAAGGAUGAAAGUGGGGGCUCGCAAGACCUCAUGCUCCUGGAGCGGCCGAUAUCUGAUUAGCUAGUUGGUGAGGUAAAGGCUCACCAAGGCAUCGAUCAGUAGCUGGUCUGAGAGGACGACCAGCCACACUGGAACUGAGACACGGGCCAGACUCCUACGGGAGGCAGCAGUGGGGAAUUUUGGACAAUGGGGGCAACCCUGAUCCAGCAAUGCCGCGUGAGUGAAGAAGGCCUUCGGGUUGUAAAGCUCUUUUGUCAGGGAAGAAACGGUGAAGGCUAAUAUCCUUUGCUAAUGACGGUACCUGAAGAAUAAGCACCGGCUAACUACGUGCCAGCCGCCGCAGUAAAAC
rnacentral:rRNA from 1 species